AAAUAUGGCUUCAAAGGCGUCCUCACUCAUGGCCUUCCCAAACAAAGUAGCUUGGGCAAUCAGAAAAUCGGAUGGGAGACCUUGAAUUCCACCUUUGAUAGUCAUAUGAGCAAUAAUAUCCGAUACAUCUAUGUGAAGCAUAUCAGCAAUCUCUUGAGAAGACGGAACCCUCUCCAAGCCACUGAACGGCAACUGAUCCAAGAUAGGUAUACCUACAAGAUAGGCAUACUCCUCAAGUAUAGGCAGAAGUUGGAAAU
rnacentral:lncRNA from 1 species